UUGAAAGGGAAACGAUUGAAGUCAGUCAUACCAGCGAGAAAUCAAUCGAUUUGGAUGUGAUUCUGUGGGUUUAGGAGAGUUUAAUAACCUUCGGUUUGCGGAAUCGUAUCUUUUCGAUGUAUUUUUUCGUACGGUUGGUUAACAUCGAUUUUGAACAUUAUAAAAUGAUCGGAGGAAUGUGGCUUCGAUCUCGUAUCGAAGUGUUAUAACCUUUGGUAAAUGUAAUGAUCAAGUUCGAGGAUUGCAACGGAUACCCUUUCGGGCUAUUCGUCUGAUCUCUGACACGUU
rnacentral:rRNA from 1 species